AACGAACGCUGGCGGCAUGCCUAACACAUGCAAGUCGAACGAGACCUUCGGGUCUAGUGGCGCACGGGUGCGUAACGCGUUGGAACCUGCCCUUAGGUUCGGAAUAACUCCCCGAAAGGGGUGCUAAUACCGGAUAAUGUCUUCGGACCAAAGAUUUAUCGCCUUUGGAUGGGCCCGCGUUGGAUUAGCUAGUUGGUAGGGUAAAAGCCUACCAAGGCGACGAUCCAUAGCUGGUCUGAGAGGAUGAUCAGCCACACUGAGACUGAGACACGGCCCAGACUCCUACGGGAGGCAGCAGUGGGGAAUAUUGGACAAUGGGCGAAAGCCUGAUCCAGCAAUGCCGCGUGAGUGAUGAAGGCCUUAGGGUUGUAAAGCUCUUUUACCCGGGAUGAUAAUGACAGUACCGGGAGAAUAAGCUCCGGCUAACUCCGUG
rnacentral:rRNA from 1 species